rnacentral:rRNA from 1 species
GAUGAACGCUGGCGGCGUGCCUAAUACAUGCAAGUCGAGCGAACAGACGAGGAUCUUGCUCCUCUGACGUUAGCGGCGGACGGGUGAGUAACACGUGGAUAACCUACCUAUAAGACUGGGAUCACUUCGGGAAACCGGAGCUAAUACCGUAUAAUCUAUUGAACCGCAUGGUUCAAUAGUGAAAGACGGUUUUGCUGUCACUUAUAGAUGGAUCCGCGCCGCAUUAGCUAGUUGGUAAGGUAACGGCUUACCAAGGCAACGAUGCGUAGCCGACCUGAGAGGCGGAUCGGCCACACGUGAACGUAGACACGGUCCUGGCUACUAAGGGACGCAGCAGUAGGGAAUGUUCCGCAAUGGUCGAAAGCCUGGCGGAGCAACCGCGAGUGAGUGAUGAAGGUCUUCGGUUCGUAAAACUCUGUUAUGAGGGAUGAACAAAUGUGUAAGUAACUAUGCACGUCUUGACGGUAACUAAUCAGAAAGCCACGGCUAACUACGUG